rnacentral:rRNA from 1 species
GACGAACGCUGGCGGCGUGCCUAAUACAUGCAAGUCGAGCGAGACUCUUCGGAGUCUAGCGGCGGACGGGUGAGUAACACGUGGGCAACCUGCCUGUAAGACUGGGAUAACACCGGGAAACCGGUGCUAAUACCGGAUAAUCCUUUUCCUCUCAUGAGGGAAAGCUGAAAGUCGGUUUCGGCUGACACUUACAGAUGGGCCCGCGGCGCAUUAGCUAGUUGGUGAGGUAACGGCUCACCAAGGCGACGAUGCGUAGCCGACCUGAGAGGGUGAUCGGCCACCAUGGGACUGAGACACGGCCCAGACUCCUACGGGAGGCAGCAGUAGGGAAUCUUCCACAAUGGACGAAAGUCUGAUGGAGCAACGCCGCGUGAGCGAUGAAGGCCUUCGGGUCGUAAAGCUCUGUUGUUAGGGAAGAACAAGUACCGGAGUAACUGCCGGUACCUUGACGGUACCUAACCAGAAAGCCACGGCUAACUACGUGCCAGCAGCCGCGGUAA